UACGAAGGGUGCAAGCGUUACUCGGAAUUACUGGGCGUAAAGGGUGCGUAGGUGGUCCGUUAAGUUCGUUGUGAAAGCCCUGGGCUCAACCCAGGAACUGCUUCGAAUACUGGCGGACUUGAGGCUAGUAGAGGUCACUGGAACUGACGGUGGAGCGGUGAAAUGCGUAGAUAUCGUCAGGAACGCCAAUGGUGAAGACAGGUGACUGGGCUAGUUCUGACACUGAGGCACGAAAGCGUGGGGAUCAAACGGG
rnacentral:rRNA from 1 species